CCGUCUGACGCUGAGGCACGAAAGCGUGGGUAUCGAACAGGAUUAGAUACCCUGGUAGUCCACGCGGUAAACGAUGAAUACUGGUUAUCCGGCCCGUCUUGUGGCUGGGUGACUCAAGCGAAAGCAUUAAGUAUUCCACCUGGGGAGUACGCCGGCAACGGUGAAACUCAAAGGAAUUGACGGGGGCCCGCACAAGCGGAGGAACAUGUGGUUUAAUUCGAUGAUACGCGAGGAACCUUACCCGGGCUCAAACGCAUGAGGACAGCCGGUGAAAGCCGGUCUCCCUCCGGGGUCUCAUGCGAGGUGCUGCAUGGUUGUCGUCAGCUCGUGCCGUGAGGUGUCGGCUUAAGUGCCAUAACGAGCGCAACCCCCAUCUUCAGUUGCCAUCGGGUCAUGCCGGGCACUCUGGAGAGACUGCCGGCGCAAGCUGUGAGGAAGGCGGGGAUGACGUCAAAUCAGCACGGCCCUUACGUCCGGGGCGACACACGUGUUACAAUGGCGGGGCACAGAAGGAAGCCAGGCUGCGAGGCCGAGCCAAUCCCGAAAACCCGUCUCAGUUCGGAUCGGAGUCUGCAACCCGACUCCGUGAAGCUGGAUUCG
rnacentral:rRNA from 1 species